rnacentral:rRNA from 1 species
UACGUAGGGUGCAAGCGUUAAUCGGAAUUACUGGGCGUAAAGCGUGCGCAGGCGGUUCGUCGUGUCUCGUGUGAAAGCCCCGGGCUCAACCUGGGAAUGGCAUGGGAAACUGGCGAACUGGAGUGUGGCAGAGGGGGGUGGAAUUCCGCGUGUAGCAGUGAAAUGCGUAGAGAUGCGGAGGAACACCGAUGGCGAAGGCAGCCCCCUGGGCUGACACUGACGCUCAGGCACGAAAGCGUGGGGAGCAAACAGG